rnacentral:rRNA from 1 species
UACGGAGGGUGCGAGCGUUGUCCGGAAUCAUUGGGCGUAAAGGGCGCGUAGGUGGCCCGGUCAGUCUUUGGUGAAAGCGCGGGGCUCAACCCUGCGUCGGCCAGGGAUACUGCCGCGGCUCGAGCACUGUAGAGGCAGGCGGAAUUCCGGGUGUAGCGGUGGAAUGCGUAGAGAUCCGGAAGAACACCGGUGGCGAAGGCGGCCUGCUGGGCUAUGGCUGACACUGAGGCGCGACAGCGUGGGGAGCAAACAGG